GGGGUUGUGGCUCAGAGGUAGAGCACAUGCCUGGCAUGCAUGAGGCACUGGAUUCGAUCCUCAGCACCACA
rnacentral:tRNA from 1 species